AGUUCUCUGGAAGUGGGUUUUUUUCAAACACCAAAUUUUAAAUUAUUCGUCUUUUGACGAAACGCUUAAUUAAUAAAUAAAACUUUCAACAAUGGAUCUCUUGGCUCUCGUAUCGAUGAAGAACGCAGCGAAUUGCGAUAAGUAGUGUGAAUUGCAAAAUCUGUGAAUCAUCGAGUCUUUGAACGCAUAUUGCGCUCUUUGGUAUUCCGAAGAGCAUGCCUGUUUGAGGGUAAUUAAAAGAAAUCUUUAAUCUCUUUUGAGGUUAAAGGAUAUGGGUAUUCCGUUAAUAAUUAUUAGCGGUAACCUGAAAUAAAUGGUAGUCUUCAUCUAGCCUCGACGCGUAAUAAUAUUAUUUCGUGAAAUGGUUAAUAAAGCUAUCUAGUUUUAAUGGCUUUAAUAUAAAAGUCAUUGAAACGAAUAAUUUUUGACAUUACCUCAAAUCAGGUAGGAUUACCCGCUGAACUUAAGCAUAUCAAUAAGCGGAGGA
rnacentral:rRNA from 1 species